CUUAAAACCUAAAAUUCUCUCGAAAUGUUUCACUCUCUCGAAAAUACUCAUUUUCCCUCUUGCUCACAGAGUCAGUCACAAAAACUUCCCUUCGACUCUCCCAAUCAUAGAAGCUCACACAACUGAGUUGCAGUGUCGCAUCAGCAAUUUGCUCGUGUUGCCAUCACCGAUUGUUCAUUAGCGUUGGUAUCGCGAUUUGUCUACAACCACAUUUGAUUUGUCGUUGAGGAUUGAAUGCAUGAUAUAAGGAAAUGGUUCAUGAAAUAACAUGACAAGGACAACAAUGCCGCUCCCUUCAAGCCUUCCAAUCAAUCCAAGCCUUCUUCAGAUAAACCCUAGUUCGAUAAAACUAAUCGAUGGGCAUAGAUGUUUCCUUCUAUGACUGCUAGAGCUAUCAACCUCGAUGUUAUAUCCAAUGGCAUGGGUGGAAUAAGAAAUGGUGCUCUCUACAAGUGGUCUUGAUGCUACAUUGAAAGUUGCAAAACCAAGGAAAGGUUCAUCAUUAGCUAUAUUUGGAUUGGGAGCUUUGGGACUUGCUUUGAGUUGCCUUGCCUCUUUCAAAAUUAAAGGAAAUUUUUGUAAAUUUUUUGUUUUUACAUUUUCUGUAGGCUGCCAAGGGAGCUAGACUCACUGGUGCUUCCAAGAUAAUUGGGGUUGACUUGAUUUAGUGAAUUUGAUUUAGUAUAUGGUUUGAUGUACAAACUAUGUAAUAAAUAUUAUUAGAUAAUUUAAUGAUUGAAA